GUGGGGAAUAUUGGGCAAUGGGGGCAACCCUGACCCAGCGACGCCGCGUGAGGGAAGACGGCCUUCGGGUUGUAAACCUCUUUUGUACGGGAAGAAGGAAGUGACGGUACUGUACGAAUAAGUCCCGGCUAACUACGUGCCAGCAGCCGCGGUAAUACGUAGGGGACGAGCGUUGUCCGGAAUUACUGGGCGUCAAGGGCGCGCAGGCUGUGCUGCAAGUCAGCUGUGAAAUGUCUGGGCUUAACCCGGGCAUGCGGUUGAGACUGCAGUGCUGGAGUGCUGUAGAGGCAAGUGGAAUUCCCAGUGUAGCGGUGAAAUGCGUAGAUAUUGGGAAGAACACCGGUGGCGAAGGCGACUUGCUGGGCAGCAACUGACGCUGAGGCGCGAAAGCCAGGGGAGCAAACGGGAUUAGAAACCCCGGUAGUCC
rnacentral:rRNA from 1 species